UACAGAGGGGGCGAGCGUUGUUCGGAAUUACUGGGCGUAAAGGGCGCGUAGGCGGCCCUCUAAGUCGAACGUGAAAUCCCCGGGCUCAACCCGGGAACUGCGUCCGAUACUGGAGGGCUCGAAUCCGGGAGAGGGAUGUGGAAUUCCAGGUGUAGCGGUGAAAUGCGUAGAUAUCAGGAGGAACACCGGUGGCGAAGGCGGUUCUCUGGGCAUUACCUGACGGCUGAGGAGCGAAAGUGUCGGGGAGCGAACAGG
rnacentral:rRNA from 1 species